rnacentral:rRNA from 1 species
AUACGGAGGGUGCGAGCGUUAAGCGGAAUUACUGGGCGUAAAGCGUACGUAGGCGGUUGGUUAAGUUAGAUGUGAAAGCCCCGGGCUUAACCUGGGAACUGCAUUUAAAACUGGCGAACUAGAGUUGAGUAGAGGGGAGUGGAAUUUCAGGUGUAGCGGUGAAAUGCGUAGAGAUCUGAAGGAACACCAGUGGCGAAGGCGACUCCCUGGACUCAAACUGACGCUGAGGUACGAAAGCGUGGGUAGCAAACAGGAUUAGAAACCCUAGUAGUCC